AGUAAUGUCUGGGAAACUGCCUGAUGGAGGGGGAUAACUGCUGGAAACGGUAGCUAAUACCGCAUAACGUCGCAAGACCAAAGUGGGGGACCUUCGGGCCUCAUGCCAUCGGAUGUGCCCAGAUGGGAUUAGCUAGUAGGUGGGGUAACGGCUCACCUAGGCGACGAUCCCUAGCUGGUCUGAGAGGAUGACCAGCCACACUGGAACUGAGACACGGUCCAG
rnacentral:rRNA from 1 species